CCACAAUGGUGGCACUCUGCCGUCGGCUCU
rnacentral:sRNA from 1 species